ACGAACGCUGGCGGCGCGCCUAACACAUGCAAGUCGAACGGAGCUGAGAGAAGCUUGCUUUUCUUAGCUUAGUGGCGAACGGGUGAGUAACGCGUGAGUAACCUGCCCUGGAGUGGGGGACAACAGUUGGAAACGACUGCUAAUACCGCGUAAGCCCACGAUCCGGCAUCGGAUUGAGGGAAAAGGAUUUAUUCGCUUCAGGAUGGACUCGCGUCCAAUUAGCUAGUUGGUGAGGUAACGGCCCACCAAGGCGACGAUUGGUAGCCGGACUGAGAGGUUGAACGGCCACAUUGGGACUGAGACACGGCCCAGACUCCUACGGGAGGCAGCAGUGGGGGAUAUUGCACAAUGGGGGAAACCCUGAUGCAGCGACGCCGCGUGGAGGAAGAAGGUUUUCGGAUUGUAAACUCCUGUCGUUAGGGACGAUAAUGACGGUACCUAACAAGAAAGCACCGGCUAACUACGUG
rnacentral:rRNA from 1 species